AAAUAAGAAGCAAUUUGCAUUUAGUUUCGACCUAAAAGACAGAGUUUAUUUUACUCCUUAUUUA
rnacentral:tRNA from 1 species